GAUUGGCUCAGGAUGAACGCUAGCUACAGGCUUAACACAUGCAAGUCGAGGGGCAGCAUGACGAUAGCUUGCUAUUGUUGAUGGCGACCGGCGCACGGGUGAGUAACGCGUAUCCAACCUUCCCGUUGCUAGGGGAUAACCUUGCGAAAGUAAGACUAAUACCCUAUGAAGUUCUUCGCAGGCAUCUAAAGAGAACGAAAGAUUUAUCGGCAACGGAUGGGGAUGCGUCUGAUUAGGUUG
rnacentral:rRNA from 1 species